UACGUAGGGAGCAAGCGUUGUCCGGAAUCAUUGGGCGUAAAGCGCGUGUAGGCGGCUCGGUAAGUCCGCUCUGAAAGUCCAGGGCUCAACCCUGGGAUGCGGGUGGAUACUGCCGGGCUCGAGUCCGGAAGAGGCGAGUGGAAUUCCCGGUGUAGCGGUGAAAUGCGCAGAUAUCGGGAGGAACACCAAUGGCGAAGGCAGCUCGCUGGGACGUGACUGACGCUGAGACGCGAAAGCGUGGGGAGCAAACAGG
rnacentral:rRNA from 1 species